CUGGAUACUGUAGGUAGCUCUACUCGUCAAAACACCGACCGCAAUCGGAACAGUUCACCACAAAAAAAGAAAAGAACAGAAAACGAGCAGAGACAAAUAGCAAAAUCGUCGCAACAAUACGUUUGAGCGUUUCGCCUGCGCCGAGUUUCACCUUACUGCAUUCCAUCCAUCUGUGGAGGUUUGCCUGAGGUGGAUUUCUUGCGUGAGAGUCCGAAAGCGUAAGAGUCACGCCUGAUGCGUGAGAGCUGGCAACCCUGUUUCACUUGCAGGGCGGUCAGAUCCUUCCCAUGACCAACGGCAGAUAUAAACAUCGUGAUCCUUUGCUGGAAGUUUGGGGAUGCAGAGUGUGAAGUGGAACUCCAUCUCCUUCAUCCCUCAAAGGCCUGGAUUCUCUUCUUCUCAAAGAAUGGUCCAGUACCUAACUACACACAGUUGUGGAUCUGCAUGGCAGCAUUCCUAGAAGGACUGAAGCCCUUUGGAAGCAGAGGACCUACUCCCUGUUAAAUUGUAGAUUGUUGAUAUUACAUUUACAUACUCUGUUAAAUUAUUUUAUCUACUUGAACAAAAUCAGAAUAUUACAUUAUAAUUUGCAUGUGCUCUGUUUUUCUUACUUUAGUACAUCAUACUUAUUUGUGACAAACUUUUCAGUGACAUUUUUUCACCAUGUAAGAUUGUCUGACAGAUGCUGGUAGCUACAUUUAGCACCGGUUUCUUUCAGAAACCACACAUUUUUAUAAUUUUUUUUUGCUUAACUGGAACAUGUAUAAACCUAUGAGUUACAACCAGUACUGUAGUCAAACAAGAGUCACAUGUUCUUGUAA